UACGAAGGGGGCUAGCGUUGCUCGGAAUCACUGGGCGUAAAGCGCACGUAGGCGGCUUUUUAAGUCAGGGGUGAAAUCCUGGAGCUCAACUCCAGAACUGCCUUUGAUACUGAGAAGCUUGAGUCCGGGAGAGGUGAGUGGAACUGCGAGUGUAGAGGUGAAAUUCGUAGAUAUUCGCAAGAACACCAGUGGCGAAGGCGGCCGCCUGGAUCGAUACUGACGCUGAGGUGCGAAAGCGUGGGGAGCAAACAGG
rnacentral:rRNA from 1 species